rnacentral:rRNA from 1 species
GAGGAAUAUUGCACAAUGGGCGAAAGCCUGAUGCAGCAACGCCGCGUGCGGGACGAAGGCCUUCGGGUCGUAAACCGCUUUUCUGGGGAAAGAGCAAGGACGGUACCUCAGGAAUAAGUCUCGGCUAACUACGUGCCAGCAGCCGCGGUAAAACGUAGGAGGCGAGCGUUAUCCGGAUUUACUGGGCGUAAAGCGCACGCAGGCGGCUCCGUGAGUCGGACGUGAAAGCUCUCGGCUUAACCGGGAGAGGCCGUUCGAUACUGCGGGGCUUGAGGUAGGGAGAGGAAUGCGGAAUUCCCGGUGUAGUGGUGGAAUGCGUAGAUAUCGGGAGGAACACCUGUGGCGAAAGCGGCAUUCUGGCCCUCACCUGACGCUGAGGUGCGAAAGCGUGGGUAGCAAAC